GACGAACGCUGGCGGCGUGCUUAACACAUGCAAGUCGAACGGAAAGGCCCUGCUUUUGUGGGGUGCUCGAGUGGCGAACGGGUGAGUAACACGUGAGUAACCUGCCCUUGACUUUGGGAUAACUUCAGGAAACUGGGGCUAAUACCGGAUAGGAGCUCCUGCUGCAUGGUGGGGGUUGGAAAGUUUCGGCGGUUGGGGAUGGACUCGCGGCUUAUCAGCUUGUUGGUGGGGUAGUGGCUUACCAAGGCUUUGACGGGUAGCCGGCCUGAGAGGGUGACCGGCCCCAUUGGGACUGAGAUACGGCCCAGACUCCUACGGGAGGCAGCAGGUGGGAAUAUUGCACAAUGGGCGGAAGCCUGAUGCAGCAACGCCGCGUGCGGGAUGACGGCCUUCGGGUUGUAAACCGCUUUCGCCUGUGACGAAGCGUGAGUGACGGUAAUGGGUAAAGAAGCACCGGCUAACUACGUG
rnacentral:rRNA from 1 species